ensembl:lncRNA
GGAUACCAAUAAAUAAAUAUUUAAUCACUUCCCAGAGAACAAGCCAUUUAUGAUCCUGUCAAAAUCAAUACAAUAUGACUAAUAUAUGAUGCAGUAUAUUCUGGAAUGACAGCUAAGUUGUGUAGGAGUGUGUGCAUCAGUACUUUCUUUUGAUACUACAGUGUAAAAGUAAGGUAGACCGUACAGUAAAUAAUCUUUCUGCAUGAGCAGACUGAUGUUGGUGUGUACAGUAAUUAAAUUCAGUCUGAGGGGAGAGUGUGGAGCCGGUGCCAGCAGGGCUGGUUAAUCUACUGUGCUCUCUGCCUGUAGGCUGCUUGUAAUUAGUGAUGAGUUGACUGGUAAUCUGGCCUCUCCUGGUGCUUUAUCUAUGGCAAGUUAAGACGCCCAUCUUUAAUCUGGACAGCCCAGUCUGCCUAGCGUGUGCAUUUAUGUAUACCAAUAGAAUUGGCUGAAUUUUAAUCUCCGACCUCCCCCUUUGCUGGUGUUUUGUCUGUUGCUGGUGCGUGAUGUAAUGAUCUUUGUUAGAUUUGGGCAUGAUUAGUGAUGGAUGGUCAUUAUAAGUGUGUCUGGUAAAUAGCGCAUUUGCUUUUAUGCAUAUCUGACUGGAGUUCGAAUCCAGCUCUGUUCAUUAUCCUCAUGUGGUUUCUUGAAAUGUAUUUACAGGUGAUGGAACACAGGUGUGAGCUCGGAUACGCCCUUGAUGGUUGGCUCAGCAGGACACACAGAAAUGUUACUGGGUUGCACAGCUGAAACAAUGAUCCUGAAGAGCAAGGGUGGGUCCCCUCUCACCCUGGGACAGUAUAGAGCAGGAAGAUAUUGUAGCAGAAUAAUGAGUGCGUGCACAUCCUGGGAAACCACGGUCUGCUUCUCUGUCAGAAGAGACCCCUCGGUCAGCGUGGGACACUGGGCUCUGGAGGUCCUGAGGGGGUGCGGGGGUGAUAUUGUGGGUCUUCAAACUCCAGGCCAGCCUAACUUGGUGUAGUCCCGCCGAUUUAUCCCUCUAUUGUCCCCUGUUGAAAGUCACCGCACCCCAAGCUUUAUUCCUAAGUGGUGAAAGUUCUCAUUAGGGCAGCAGUGUGGUGUGAUAGUGAGUGGUGUUAGUUUACCCUUACGAGACUACUCAGCUGAAUCAUUAUAAUGACAAUUAGUUUGGCUUGCUAGUGUUUUCUUUCUAGAAAAGGUUCACAUAUCAGAAUGAAUCACAUUUAAAUGAUGAGUUUGUACGUUAAAGUACCUAGCAUCUAGUUAAAAAACCACACAUUUAUUUAGAAUGUUCAGAUAUUUUUAUUUAAAAUGUAUUAUACAUAUGUUGCAUUUAUUUAUGUGCCAGAUGUUAUCCUAAAUCACUUACUAAGGAGGAGUAUUGUAAUUAUUUUAUUAUAAAAGCUCUACACAAUGCCAAGUUUGAGCUAGAGCAGUUAAAUGCAUAUUAGUAGAGACUGUGAGAUUAUUUUCUUUUCUUUUAUUUUAUUUUAUUUUAUUAUCAGAUGUGCUAAAACAUUAGCCACAUUUAAAUCUAGACUCAAAACUCAUGUUUUUGCUGUGCAUUUAUUGAAUGAGCACUGUGCUACAGUACUUCAGAACUGAUUGCACUGUAUUUUAUAUAAAAUCAUUUCCCAUUUUUAACUGUUUUAAAUGAAUUUUAAAUGAAUUUUUAAAUCAUUUGAAAAAAAAAUUCCUUGUUUUAUUGUUGUGAUUAUUUUUUUAUGAUCAUCUUACUUCCUUUUAUGUAAAGCACUUUGAAUUACCAUUGUGUAUGAAAUGUGAUAUAUAAAUAAACUUGCCUUGUUUUGCCUUUAUUUUAUUUUAUUUUUCUAUAGGAAUUGUUGCAGAAUGUGUCUUUGUUAAUGGAAUUUAAUUUAUAGAAAUUAAUUUAUUAGCCAAAACAAUUUAAAUGAAUGUUUUUUUUGUUUGUUUUUUUUGUUUGUUUUUCUUUGUAUAUAACCGCUAAUUAAAAAAAAAAAAAAAAAAAAAAACUGUUAUUAUGUUUCAUGUGCAUUCUUCAUUCUGGACUUGCAGAUGCUGUUGUAUGUUUUAAAUUCAUGGUGAUAAUGCAUAUUACUUGUGGCAUAAUCUAUUUGCCCUAUAAAUCCUGCUGAUUGUAUUGUUAAUUUUAUGCUUUGAUCAGAGAUCUCAGAUAUUCUCCCCAUAAUCCCUAUUUAUCCUGCCCCAUAAUGUUGAUUAUGAUAAAUAAUAUCACAUCCUGCGUGUACAACUUAUCUAUCAGUUGUUCUCAUGUCAGGUAGUGACUUGGCUU